rnacentral:rRNA from 1 species
AACGAACGCUGGCGGCAUGCCUAACACAUGCAAGUCGAACGAGACCUUCGGGUCUAGUGGCGCACGGGUGCGUAACGCGUGGGAACCUGCCCUUAGGUUCGGAAUAACUCCCCGAAAGGGGUGCUAAUACCGGAUAAUGUCUUCGGACCAAAGAUUUAUCGCCUUUGGAUGGGCCCGCGUUGGAUUAGCUAGUUGGUAGGGUAAAAGCCUACCAAGGCGACGAUCCAUAGCUGGUCUGAGAGGAUGAUCAGCCACACUGGGACUGAGACACGGCCCAGACUCCUACGGGAGGCAGCAGUGGGGAAUAUUGGACAAUGGGCGAAAGCCUGAUCCAGCAAUGCCGCGUGAGUGAUGAAGGCCUUAGGGCUGUAUAGCUCUUUUACCCGGGAUGAUAAUGACAGUACCGGGAGAAUAAGCUCCGGCUAACUCCGUG